GGGAAGUGGUCGCUUGGUGAAAACUAAUGUAAACAUUUUAGGUACUGUAAAAAAAUACCAUCCUUUGCAAGACAGGGUUUGAGGCACAGUAGAGUUAUCUACGUUUCUUGAGUCACGGGACACACCCGCUUUUAACGGGACACUAGGACGACAUUAUUUUGGCUCUAGCGUUCUACCUUUUCUAUAAACCUUAAAUACAAACAGCACAGCUGAGACACAAUAAAUAAGUCGGUUCAGUCGUACUUGUAUGCACUAUGUCUACUUCUGUCGAUAUCCAUGCAAAACUGGCAUCCAUAAUAGAAAGGUUUGCCAAAUGUGCGCUGGUAGAAAUGACGAAAAUAAUCGAUAACGACUCCGCGCUUUUACGCGCUGAGAUAUCACGAAGACAAAUGGAGAUCGAGUCCCUUUUGUGUAAACUACAGUUUGCAGAGAGCGAGCUCAGGUCGGCACGACAGGCAGCAUUCCGCCAACCUCCGAAUCUCCGUUCAGUGGGAAUUCAAGUUAGCAACACCUCUAAUCUGCGAGACUAUAAGGAAAGGCAGCGAGACAUGCAUGCGGAUAAUUCAUCUUUCAAUUCAAAGGUAGUUUUUGUGUCAAGUAUUUUAUCUUUCUUUGAGUUACCGGCUGGACUCUUUACACUCGUGUGUUUUUCAUAUUUUAUCCUGCAGCAGGAUGGAGUUCAACCGCUGCAUGUCAAAGAGGAGAGAACGGAGAUGAAAACAGGGGACAGCAGCAGGGGUAACAUGCCGUCAGCUGCUCUGUAGUAGAUGCAAAAUACCUGUUUAUUUUUGUUAAAAACACACACAUGAAACCAUUGUCCCCCAAAUCUUAGCCAUAUCUAUCCAGAUUUCCUGACUUCAUCCAGACACUGUCUUGCUCUUCAUACCCAGAGGCAGAGGAGAGUCAGGGUUGCUGGGAUGAAGAACAGGAUUCACCUCAUACACCAGGAGAAGGUAAAGAGGAUAUUAACAAUGGUACCAUUUGCAACUUUAACUACAUUAAGGC
ensembl:lncRNA